rnacentral:tRNA from 1 species
GGAAUGUUAGCUCAAUGGAAGAGCUUCGGCGAGAUAGCCGGAUGUUGCAGGUUCGAAUCCUGUACGUUUCU